GGAAGUUUAAGAACCAUAGCAUAAUGCUCAGAAACACCUUGCCCCAAGGAAAAAGUGGGCCGUCUAUUUGAGCAAAGUGUUCCUGUCUUCAGCCUCUGUCCAGGUCAGAGCUCUCCUGAUUCUCUUUAACUGCCCAGAAUCUCUCUGAACUUCCCAACUUCGACUAGCUACACUGAUGUCUAUGCCCACCUCAAUCCAUCAGCAGACUACUCUAUGUACCCAGCUGUGGCUCCAAAGGCAGAGAUGCACUGAGGCUUCUUUCUUGCUGCCAGCAGGUGCAGCAUGUGGUCAAGACUACCUGGCUGCUUUUCAAGCGUGUAGAGAGGGAUGAAGCACUUGGAGCAUCUGGACCUGGUUCAGCAGUGUCAGGCUGUGUGUCUUUGGUCCAGGCAAGCAUCUUCUCUGAGUGCCAGUGACGUUCUCAGCAAAGGGAACCUGGCUUAGUGGUGGCCUCCCCACACCCAAGCAGUAAAAGGGAGAGCCUCCUGAGCCAGCAGAGAAACUUAAGCCUCCCAGUAUUCUGGAAGCAAUAAAGAAUAAUCUGAUAUACAAACAAAGGUGCCGUGAGGUAUUCUCACUUCUCUUAACUACUGCUGGUGAUGAUGUUUGUGAGCCAGCUCUUUUUACCACUGAAAAAGUUCUUAACUGUUAAUGACUCCCAGGUGAAGGCACCAACCCAAGACUGAGAUGUUCUGAAUAAAUGAGGGAAUAAAUGAAUGAGUAAGUGGAUCACUGACUGAGCCAACUCCUAUUGAGAGCCUAAAAUGCAUAAAGGUUUCACAAAUGACUACAACUGUCCCUUCCUACAACUCCAUAAGGCAGGUUCUAAAAUCACCCCCGUUCUAUGGAUGAGGAACUGGUGCUCAGAGAAGUUAAGUGGACCUUGCCAAGGACAAUAGGAAAACAUCAUGAGUAAGAGACUCAGGACUCACGCAUCAAGACCCACAUUGUUUCUGUUAUGCUGUCUUACCUUCUUGAAAGCUCUGACUUGAGAAGAUUGGUUCAGAUUUUGUGCAACUGGUCAUCCCUGGUGCAACCCAGAGACUGGCACUCAAUUUCACUUCAUGAGUCUCUUCUGUCCCCCUCAGAUCAUAGCACCGCUGUUUACACUUCAGCGCCAGCACCUCCUGCCUCCUCUUUGGGACACCUUUUCUUACCUUUGAUGCUAUGACAAGGGGGCUUUCCUCCCUGCCUCUAGCAGACUGUUUUGCUUUUCCCAUUCUUUUCAUAACUUUCCAAAGACACAAAAUCACAGCUGUAAAAAUGGCAUGUUAUAGCUAUUGGUUGCUCACGUCUUUCAAAGGGCUUUCCCAAUUAUUUUUUCAUUUCAUCUUCACAACAGCCCUCUGUGGACCAGGAAGGCAGCUGUCAUUACCCACCAUUGCACGGUCAGGGAAACUGAGACCUCAAAAAGGGGAAUCUCCCACGGGAGUCAUAGGUAAGGUUGGUGACAGAGGCAAGACCUGCACUCAACUGCUUGACUACCAGGGCCAAUGCUCUUUCACAAAGACACCACGACCAACAUGGAUAGAAUGUGCCUCUAACUGCAGCUCCAGUUUAUAGGGCUAUUUGAGCAAAGGGGAUGGAGUGAGGCCUCAUUUGGAGAAGUGGAGAUGAGGAUGGGAGGAUCUGGCAGAGCAGCGUGGCAGGUGUUGGUUAGAUUCUCUGCACCUAUGUAUUCCUUCCAUAGACAAUUUUGUAUCCCAGAAAAAAUGAAAUAAAAUUAUAAUCCUAAAG
rnacentral:lncRNA from 10 species